CAGGAAAUAAUUUAAUAAAAAUAUUAAUUUUGGAGAUUAAAAUUAUACAAUGUAUUUUCUUGA
rnacentral:tRNA from 1 species